AGGUAGCAUAAUCACUUGUCUUUUAAUUGGAGGCUGGAAUGAAAGAGGCGACGAAAUUUGGGCUAUUUAUAUACAAUAUAAAAUUUACAUAAAGGUUAAAAGGCCUUUAUAAAUCAAAGGGACGAUAAGACCCUAUAAAACUUUACUAUAGGUUAAGUUAUUUAGAUAAAAUUUACAUUUAUAGUUUAGCUGGGGCGGUUUAUAUAAAAACAAUUGUAGCAAAAAUAUAUUAAAUAGAAUUUGAGAACUCUAAUAUGAAAUAAAUAAGUUACUUUAGGGAUAACAGCAUAAUUCUCCCAGAGAGUCCUAAUUGGCGGGAGAGCUUAUGACCUCGAUGUUGAAUUGGGGUGUCUGAUAUAAGUAGAAAUAUAUUAAGAUAGUCUGUUCGACUAUUAAAUUCCC
rnacentral:rRNA from 1 species